rnacentral:rRNA from 1 species
CUACAGAGGGUGCAAGCGUUAAUCGGAAUUACUGGGCGUAAAGCGCGCGUAGGCGGCUUAUUAAGUCAGAUGGGAAAUCCCCGGGCUCAACCUGGGAACUGCAUCUGAUACUGGUAAGCUAGAGUUUUGGAGAGGGAAGUAGAAUUUCAGGUGUAGCGGUGAAAUGCAUAGAGAUCUGAAGGAAUACCAGUGGCGAAGGCGACUUCCUGGCCAAAAACUGACGCUGAGGUGCGAAAGCGUGGGUAGCAAACGGGAUUAGAUACCCUAGUAGUCC